GAGAGUUGCAAUGAUUUCUCUGGCAGGUAGAGAGGUGUAGCACAUGUCAGUUUUGUCAGUAACCUGCAGUAGACCCUCUCAUUCAUUAUCUCAUUACAGAAUUUUCAUGGCACUGAAGAGCAUUUGCACUGCUGCUGGAUAACCAUAAGCAAAAAAAGACUGUCAUGCUGCACAGAGGAGGCGUUUGGAGGCUGCUUUUAUGGAUGGACUGUUGGAACACUUAAUAUAGCUCUAUUUUUGAAUUAUCAGGUUCUAUCCUUUUGAAGUCUGUGUUAGUGGAACUCCUAUUUAUGAAAUGUGCUGUGCUUAAAGGUUUGCUAUUGAUGAAGAGGUCCAACAGAGGCCUUUAUCCUAAGUACUGUAGCAUUCUCCCUGAGAAAUAAAUAGCCUUGCUAAAAGGUAUGUUGUGUACCAAGGUUGCAAAUUAUCAGCCAAGCACCUUGUAACUAUAUACUUCAAAAAUACCUUUCUGCUUUCUGUUUGUUCUCUUCUUCCACAGCAUGACUGUUGUUUUUAAAAACAUAUAAGGAAAAAAAAAACCACCAAAAACCCAAUUUGUUAUCUCUUUAAUUGGACAGCGUGUCCUCGAGUAAGAAGGUAACACUUCAGUGUACAUAUUUAGCUGAGGAGGAGCUGUUUGCAGGUGUGUCCUUCUCAGCAUUAAGCACUGUGAGUUUUGGGGGAGUUUUCAGCCCUCGUUCAGGGAUUGAUUGGAACUGCUGAUUUAUUGCAAAAUUCCACCACUGUGGCAGCCAUGCCAGCACUUGCAACGAGCUGAGGAUUACUACCAAUUAUUUAGGAAACGAUGACGAGAACAACGUGAUACAUACAAAGCAGAAGAAAAAUGUCAGGCAUCUCCCCUUACCAAAUGUUGACAGUCAAAGAGCAGGUAGGAGGGAGCUUCAUUUCCCUCGAGUGCUGCAAUUAAUGAGAGCUCAGGCAUGCGAGUUCCUGGGUGCUCUUUCUCCCCUUUGAGAUCAGCUACCAAACCUCUCUCUAAUUCUGUUAUUUACCAUCGCUCUGUAGCCUAAGCUCACGGGACCUGAAACCAAAGCACACAGAUGAUAACAAACACAUUAUGUCUCUGUCUGCUGUUGAGUUCCAUCGCUUUUAGCCUACAGAAUUCAUCUGAAAUUAAUAAGCCAUGUUAAUACGUGUAUUUUUCUAUUUUUUAUUAUCAAGAAACGCUGACCUCUGUGGAGUAUACUGCAUCCAUCCAAGUUCCUUAACAACUUCUCCAGAGGCUUUCCUUGCAAACCUGGGAUGCUGUGAGUGGAGGGGACCAGUGUUGGACCACGGGUUGAUGGUGCAGCGUUCAAUAUUGAAUUGUGACCAUUCUUUGGCCAUGAGAUAACCUUGCUUCAGUAGUGCUGAGUGCCCACAAGGAACAUCUCCAAUGUAAUAUGAUGGAAGUGAAAGAAAGAAAGAAAUCCAGCCUGGC